CCACUGCUGAGGAGUCCCUUAAUAGGAUGAAACGACCGUCCAGUGU
rnacentral:hammerhead_ribozyme from 1 species